AUUAAUAAACAAAGUUAACUAAAAAGGAUAUGCACACAAAGUUAAUAAAAAAAAUAUGCAUUGUGUCCCCAAAUAUCUUGCCCCACAUUGCAAGGACGGAAGAAGAUCCGAAAUUGCCCAAAUAAAUGCAUGCGUACCCCUCUCCAGCUAAUUUUCAUAAGCCAACAUAUAAAUCUAUCUAAUUAGAGGCAACCGGCACACAGUUCCAUUUUAGCCAAUUCAUGCGGUAAAUGCGGCGUGCAUGUCCUCGUUUAUGCAUGUGUGGCUUCUGGCGACCAACACGUGUUCUGAUCAGCCAUGCUAUUUUGUUUUUCUUAUUUCCCUUAACUUAUCUCCUGGACUCUUCUAGCUGCCUCAGUUCCAGCUCCAUGAGGCGUUUCCCACAAGGCCACAAGGUGAGACCGUGAGAUGCAGACCACCGUCUGGGGCCCUCGCCGACGCCGGCGGCAAGUAGGGACGCGUUGCGGUAGCAAGGCCCGCAUCCGGCGCGUCCAAUCGCGGGACUAAACUGUGGCAGCUGCUCCCUUGCCUAUGUUCCCCUCAGUUCGAGAUCAGAGACAAUUCACACAAGGUGAGAUGCGGUCUGCCGUCCGAGACCGUCGCCGUCGCCGGCGGCAGGGCGAGAGCUAUGCUGUGUAGCACCGUUUGCGUCCGGCGUGCCUAAGCUGUGGCAGCUGCUCCAUGCUGUUGUUCCCUGCCGAACAACAUCGCGCGCGGGGGCGGUCAGCGGGUACCUCGAGAUACAGCAGGGGCUCAUGUAGACUCACUUCAAGUUUGGAACUCGAUGCAAGCUCAGAGGCAGAGAUUCAAGGCGCAAAAACGUACCUAUGCAUGAUGAAGUGCCAGGAGCUGCUUCCAUGCUCAAGAACACAGUGGAUGCAUGCUGAUCCACAGAGAGAGCAAUUUUCUAUCAAUCCUGAUCUAUUCUCAUGUGAUCUAGGGGGCAACAUUGACAAUGUAGUAGAUGGGCAGGAGAAAGGAUGUAGCCGGGAAGAUAUCUUGGCGGUAAUCUGUUGUUACACAGGAGAAAAAAAGUUUGUUUUGCUGAUUAUCUGGAACAAAUUAGAGAGGUAUGCUGUGUUUUAUUACUGAAUCCAACUUCCAUGUUGUGUUUCUCCUUUGUGCAUGCUCA